AGUUUAGGAGCAUCUGUUAAAUUCGCUUACGUCCUGUAGGCAACACAGAUGUCAACACUUCCUGUGUA
rnacentral:sRNA from 1 species